rnacentral:lncRNA from 1 species
AACUUUUAAAAUCAAAAAAUUUCUAUAAUAUAUAAUUUUGAAUAAAUAUAAUUAAUCAAUAAAGUUUUAAUAGUGUUAUAAUUAAUUAUGUCUAAGCUAUUGAAAUAUUAAUUCGCUCUCAAAACAGUAUCUUCACAUUUGAUGUUUAGAUGGAUAAAAUGGCAAAAAUACAUGUUGAAUCGAAUAACAUUUUCAUAUCCAAAGAUAUAGUGUUUGCUUGCAUUUAAUAUGCAUAUUUUGUUAAGUUCAUUAGUGAUAUGAUAUAUCACUAAAUAGAUAUAGCCAUUAGCAUGUCAUAGUACUCAUCCAAAAAAG